CAUGGCUCAGGAUGAACGCUAGCGGCAGGCUUAAUACAUGCAAGUCAAGGGGGUAGCAAUACAACCGGCGCACGGGUGAGUAACACGUACACAACAUACCAUAUACUGAGGUAUAGCUUCGGGAAACUGAAGGUAAUCCCUCAUAGUAUUGUGAAAGGGCAUCUUUUUACAAUUAAAGUUUCGACGGUAUAUGAUUGGUGUGCGUUUGAUUAGCUAGUUGGUAGGGUAACGGCCUACCAAGGCAACGAUCAAUAGCUGGCGUGAGAGCGCGACCAGCCACACUGGAACUGAGACACGGUCCAGACUCCUACGGGAGGCAGCAGUAGGGAAUAUUGGACAAUGGGCGAAAGCCUGAUCCAGCCAUGCCGCGUGAUAGAUGAAGGCCCUCUGGGUUGUAAAUAUCUUUUAUCUGGGAAGAAACACUUCUAUUCUUAGAAGCUUGACGGUACCAGAGGAAUAAGCACCGGCUAACUCCGUG
rnacentral:rRNA from 1 species